AUAUUACAAAUUUCCUCCAACACUUUAAUCAGAUUUUCAUCAAAACACAUUUUGUCUUGCCUAUGCCUUAUUCACAUAUCUUGCUCCAAGAAGAUUGUCGACCUGCUUCGUUGCUAUUCUAUAAAUGGUUAUACGCAGG